CAGAAAAAAAUAAGGCUCCUAGUACAGAGGACAGACACAAGUUUAUUGCUGAAGAGCAAAAUGAUUGCUUCAUAUCUUUAUUAGAACCUCGAAAGGCAGGUUUACAAACUGCCAUGAGUUACCUCUAGAGUAUUCCCUGCAGGGUCAGUAACCCCACGUAUCUCAGAAAUGCUGGUCACUGGAGGUUCUCCUGUCUGACCAUGAGGAGCUGGGAUUUU